CAGCAGCCGCGGGAAUACGUAGGGUGCGAGCGUUAAUCGGAAUUACUGGGCGUAAAGCGUGCGCAGGCGGUUGUGUAAGACAGGUGUGAAAUCCCCGGGCUUAACCUGGGAACUGCGCUUGUGACUGCACAGCUAGAGUAUGGCAGAGGGGGGUGGAAUUCCACGCGUAGCAGUGAAAUGCGUAGAGAUGUGGAGGAACACCGAUGGCGAAGGCAGCCCCCUGGGCCAAUACUGACGCUCAUGCACGAAAGCGUGGGGAGCAAACAGGAUUAGAUACCCCCGUAGUCCCUGUCUCUUAUAC
rnacentral:rRNA from 1 species